GUCCACGCCCUAAACGAUGUCAACUAGGUGUUGGGUGGGUAAAACCAUUUAGUACCGGAGCUAACGCGUGAAGUUGACCGCCUGGGGAGUACGGCCGCAAGGUUAAAACUCAAAGGAAUUGACGGGGACCCGCACAAGCGGUGGAUGAUGUGGAUUAAUUCGAUGCAACGCGAAAAACCUUACCUACCCUUGACAUGUUCGGAAUCCUGAAGAGAUUUGGGAGUGCUCGAAAGAGAACCGGAACACAGGUGCUGCAUGGCUGUCGU
rnacentral:rRNA from 1 species